UUUCGGGUCCAAACAGGCACACUCAAACUCAGCCCACAAGGAGCCGGUUGGUGUUGAGCAUUCGUUCGUUGUGCACACCAAUGGCGAUUGAAAACCGCCUCCCUUUCAGUACGAGAGAAGUGUUUGUCGCUGACUUCCCCCUUGCGCGUCUGUUUGACUCCUUGGUCCGUGUUUCAAGACGGGUGGAUGCGCCCCAUCUCCAUUGCCAGCAUUGAGUAACACGGAGAAGCAACCCGAGGCUCGCCGUUUGACCGGUGCCAGGCCGCUUUAUCUCCGCUCGUUUUUCACCAAUACCCUCGAUUUUUGCAGUUGUUUGCUCACCCAGUUGGCAGGUUUCCCCGACUCCCAAAGCGAGAUAAUGCCUCGAGGUUGGUUCUGGCCAGUGAAAUGGAGGCACGUCCAGUGUCAUUGUCACGAUUUCAGGUUCUAUGUCACUCUCUUUCCAAAGUGCUUUUCAAACUUUCGCUCACGCUACUUGUUCGCUAUCGGUCUUCCUA
rnacentral:rRNA from 1 species